UACGAAGGGGGCUAGCGUUGCUCGGAAUCACUGGGCGUAAAGGGCGCGUAGGCGGCCGAUUAAGUCGGGGGUGAAAGCCUGUGGCUCAACCACAGAAUUGCCUUCGAUACUGCAUGGCUUGAGACCGGAAGAGGUAAGUGGAACUGCGAGUGUAGAGGUGAAAUUCGUAGAUAUUCGCAAGAACACCAGUGGCGAAGGCGGCUUACUGGUCCGGUUCUGACGCUGAGGCGCGAAAGCGUGGGGAGCGAACAGG
rnacentral:rRNA from 1 species